UUGAAAAAUGUUAUUAUACAAUUCGCGCUUACCUGUCAGUUGUAACUUCAUAUUCACUUUUGUCUGAAAAACUGCCAGAGCGUAGCUUUUAAAAAGGCCCAGCUUAAUGACAAUUGCGUCCUAUCAAUAUCCGACCCAAUUAUAGCAAAUGAGGAACCGAUAAAAAUAAUAGGCGCACAUCAUUAGGAUCACAAACAAUGAUAUAGACAACGUCAAAGGUUUACAAACAAGAUAGAUAAGAUAAACACAAACAAAUAAGAUGUUCCACAUCCUACCAGCACAAAUUAUCAUACCCGGACAAUAGAAUGCAACUGGCUCCUCAGACCUGAAUGGCCCCGCGUAACGGGUCUGGAAUGUUACGGAACUUCGAAGACUUACAGCCACAGCCAACCAAAUACACCGCAGAACACGAGUGCACUUACUGCAGGAAUCCCGGGCAUUCUCAGGAGGAUUGUCGGUAGAAGAAAAGCUCCAAAACCGCUUACAACUGCGGCACCCGCAGCGCCCAGCACCCUCUCAGCGUGUUUCGGAUGUGGAAAACCGGCGUGACACGAUGUUAGUGCCCGAACUGCCGUGGCAUCGCGAGACAUUUUGUAAUGAGACUCUUUAGGACUCUAAGACAUUACCUCCAUUAAAUGGAGAGGUCUCCGGUUCGUGUUUCGCUCUCUUUUGGGUCAGCUGUUCUUUUAAAAUUAAAGGAUAGAAUCAAGGAAGUAUAUGGAGAGACAAGCUUGAGGGUAAGAAUAGAAGGAAACGAGUCUGAACUGUUUGAUAAAUGAUGGGAAGAAUGGAAAGGUGUUGGGAAUGGAGCUAAAUGUAGAAAACUCGAAGGUGAUGAGAUUUAGGAAGGGAAUUGGAAGAAAAAGGAGAGAGGGAAGCACAGAAGAGGUAAAGAAUUUAAAUAGUUAGGGUUCCAAGUGCAAAGAAACAAUGUGGAAUGAAGAACAAGAAAGUACCUGUUCGAUGCAAUUGUGGUUGCUCAUGUACGGGGCGGAGAUAUGGGGGUGGGAGGAACUGGAGGAAGAACAAAGAUGAGACUAUAAAUGGGUAUUAGGGUUAAACGGAAGGACAUCAGUUGUCUGUUAGAGGAAGAAACAAAAAUGAGAAAGAUAAGGGUAGCGCCGUGGCGCAGGGCGGUAUGAUUCGAAGAAAGAGACGAUAGAAAAAGCGAAUUAGUGAAAAAACGAGGAUGAACGCAAAGGGAAUGUGGGAAGAACUAAUAUUACGAAAAAAAUGGAUACGAAUGGGCCUUAUACACUGCCUUUUUUUGAGUCCCGAAAAAAAAAUUGUCUCAGAUCGACCCGGAAAAAAAUUUUCUUAUAGA